GACCCUGUGGUGCAAUGGUAGCACGUCUGACUCCAGAUCAGAAGGCUGUGUGUUCAAAUCACACCAGGGUCA
rnacentral:tRNA from 1 species